UGUAUUAUGCUGGGAGGGCAUAUCCGCCGAAUUUAAGCAUAUAAUUAAGCGGAAGAAAAGAAAAUAACAAUGAUUCCUUUAGUAACGGCGAGUGAACAAGGAAAAGCUCAAAAGGAAAAUCCGCUUCGUGGCGAAAACUACGGUGUGGAAUUGUCUGGUUGGGGAUUAUUCCUCCCUAUGCUUUUGUUGGGUACGAAAUGAGUAGGAAUACUAUUCCUUAGAGGGUGAAAGGCCCGUAGUUCCCUACAAUUAUAGGUGGAAUUUUCCCCGUAGAGUCGUGUUCUUUGAGAUUGGAGCACAAAUGCGUGUGAUACAUUUCACAUAAAGCUAAAUAUUUGUAGGAGACCGAUAGCAAACAAGUACCGUGAGGGAAAGAUGAAAUAGUACUCAGGAAUGAGGCUUAAAUAGUACCUGAAAUCGUUAAGAUGGAACGGAUUGAGAGAGAAAUAACGUAAGAUGGGAUUUAUUUCGCUGCUCUCCGAGCACGUUUUAAUUCCUAUCUUAUUAAAAGGAGCAUCAGUGAAAUUUAGCAUUUGCAUUCUAGUUAAACAGUUAUCUUUGCUCCGGCAAAGACAUCCUAUCUGCUUCCGCUAAUAUGGUUGUAGAACUAACUAUUCUUGCUUGCUACAUUUACUGAGGACCCCCAAUGCCGGGGCAAUGCCCCGGUCAUUUACGUUGCUUCUAAAAAGUACUUUCUUAACCCACUCGUCUUGAAACACGGACCAAGGAGUCUAACAAAUGUGCGAGCGUAUAUAUGUUUAACUAUAACAAAGAAUGAAAAUUCUUAAUGUACGCGUAAUUAAUGUAAUUAAUUGGUAGAAUUUUAGGGUGCUUCCCUAAUUUGCAUACCAUGCCGGUUGGCGAUUAUGCUUAAUUGAGUAUGAGUAUAUUUGUUAGGACCCGAGAGGCUUUGAACUAAGCGUGAUGAGAUUGAAGUCAGACGAAAGUCUGAUGGAAGAUCGAAUUGAUACUGACGUGCAAAUCGUUCAUUUCAAUCACGUUUAGGGGCGAAAGACUAAUCGAAAGGCCUAUUAGCUGGUUAUUUUCGAAAGAUCUCUCAGGAUCGCUGGAGUUGAUUAAUAUAGUUUUACGAGGUAGAGAUAAUGAUUAGAGGAAUCAGGGAAAUCGUUUUCCUUGACCUAUUCUCAAACUCCCAAUACGUAAUAAGGGAUUAAUAUCUUAACUGUAUUUUUCCCACCUAUAAAUAAAAUAACUCCAAGUGGGCCAUUUUUGGUAAGCAGAACUGGCGAUGAGGGAUGCUCCUAACGCUUGGAUAAGGUGCCUAAAUAUUCGCUCAUGAGAUCCCAUAAAAGGUGUUGGUUCAUAAUGACAGUAGGACGGUGGUCAUGGAAGUCGAAAUCCGCUAAGGAGUGUGUAACAACUCACCUACCGAAUGAACUAGCCCUGAAAAUGGAUGGCGCUAAAGCGGAUUACCGAUACCAAGCCAUAGAAAGAGAUUUAAAGGUUAAUUGUGGUUCGCCCCAAUUAAUCUUUUUUUGAACCUUUCUAUGAGUAGAAAAUCGUGGGGUUUGUGUAGAAGCAAUAUGCGUGAGCUAUUGUGGAACAUAUCCCUAGUGCAGAUCUUGGUGGAAGUAGCAAUUAUUCAAAUGAGAACUUUGAAGACUGAAGUGGAGAAGGGUUUCUUGUCAACUGUGAUUGUACAAGAGUUAGCCGCUCCUAAGGGAAAGCUGAAAUGCGUUAAAUGGGGAUUUGAUGCCGCGGGCAACCGCGACCACUCUCCCCGUCCCGAAAGGGAAACAGGUUGAUAUUCCUGUGCCGAUAGUAAUUUGGGUAUUGGAGAUGGUAACAUAUAUAUAAAUGAACUCCUUUACGUAGGUCUUACACUCGGGGUGCGUUUUCUUUGCACUUUAACUUUAUAGCCGACCUCGGAAUCAAUUUAGUUGGAGAAGAGGUCUGCCGAAUCCAAUUCGGGUCAAUCUAAUAUGGGUGGAGCAAUCCACCCUUUUUAUGAUUCCCCGUUUUGAGUAAUAGUAAUUCAUUUUUAUGGAUUAUCCGAAGCCGUAAGGACUACCCUUGAAAAAAGGAGGGAACAGCAAGAGGCAAGUUUACUUGCCUCUUGCCGCCCUGAUUUACUUGUAUGAGCGUACCAACAACCGCAUCAGGUCUCCUAGGUUAACAGCCUCUGGUUAAAUAGAAAUAAGUAAGUAAGGGAAGUCGGCAAAAUAGAUCCGUAACUUCGGGAAAAGGAUUGGCUCUGAGGACAUAUGAAUAGAGAAGUUUAAAUUAACGUUUGAAAAAUGAUAUAAGGAAAGCACCUUGGUUCGCCAAGGUGUUUUUAUUUUAUUUCGUUUUCCUUAUGUUUAUUUUAUUCUAUCCCUCUAUUCGCCGCUAUUUGGCCGUCACUUCGGUGAUGACCUUAUAGCUCUAUCAUGUUAACUCAGAACUGAAACGGACAAGGGGAAUCCGACUGUUUAAUUAAAACAUAGCAUUGUGAAAGCCACAAAUGGUAUUAACACAAUGUGAUUUCUGCCCAGUGCUU
rnacentral:rRNA from 1 species